AAUAUUUAUUGAGUCUUCUUUUUUUUCGGUUACAAUAUGUUGUACUUAUCGAUAACAACGGUGAUAAUCAAAAAACGCAAAAUUAUAAUAGUUUUGUUUUGCUGCACACUGACGUUCGUUAAUGCUACAUGCAAAGUGAAUAAACAGAAAUUUACAAAAUGUAAACAAAUGGGAAGAGAUUUUUAGACUUGCUCGCGGUCUAUAUUUUAGCGUGCAGAGUAAAUAUCUGCAUAACUACUUAAACACUAGUUAACACUUAUAUACUAAAAUAAAUAAAUAUGUUUGAACAGUGUGACAAUUUUAGGUACUACGUGACUUAAGUCUAAAAUGUAUAUAAGAAUAUCACAGAAUCGUUUUUUGCAUUCAUUUAUCCCCUAUGUGUUUCGGGACUCGCCUUGGUAAAAAAAUCAGGUAGAUGGUACUGGCCAGAACUGUUGUCAAGAUUUUCAUUUAGAACUCCUACUGGUGAAAGGUUUUCCACAAAUCUCCUUUGGAGGUUGAGAGCAUACGUGCAGAAUGGCAGAAUGUUUGCGCAGGUGUAAAUGUGCUGAUUUGAGAAGCGCUUAGAGGGAUUCUGGAAGUUUUUUCCAACACAUUUUCUAAGGAUUUUUCGUUCAAACAUUUCAAUUUCAUUUGCCACUGUCGGGGAAAUUGAAAACCACAUUGGGAAACCAUAAUUCAUAAUUGGGCGAAUGGCGACUUUAUAUAGGAGCAACUUAGUACUCUGUGGCAGAUAAGUAUUGCACAUGAUGUAUGAUAAACGACCAGCUGUCAUUUUGGCUUUUUUUAGGGCGGCUCUGGCGUGAUCAUUAAAUUUAAAAAGGUUAUUUAUGUUUAUUCCCAAAUAUUUUAAGGUAUUCCUAAAAGGGAUUUCUGUUCCAUCAAGCGAGAGAUUCAAUAGUUUGGAUUCAGGCACUACUGUUCUAUGGCAUUUUCCUGAAGCGUUUCUAAUGCAAAUUGCCUCCGACUUCGCAGCAUUUAUGGAAAUUCCCCAUGUCGUGUAAUAUGCUUUUAUAAUUUGAAGAUGGUACGCUGCAUUAUUGAGAGCAGUAAUUGAAUUUUCGGAAACAUGAGGAAAAUCAUGAAGGAACAAGUUGAACAGUUGGGGUGACAGAACGCUGCCCUGGGGGACACCACUUUCUAUUGCGCCAAAAUUGGACAUAUAAUCAUUGAUAAUAACAGUAAAUUUUCUGUUGUUUAAAAAGCUUGAAAACAUCUUGACCAGAAACGGAUCCACGUUCAGUUUAAUUAAUUUAUAAAUAAUUCCUUUGUGGUAUACAGAAUCAAAUGCCUUCUGGAUAUCUAGAGAGAUUGCCACUGUACAUAUUUUCUCUCUUAGGUGACUCGUUAUAUCAUUGUGAAAUUUAAGUAAGGCGUGAUUUGUAGAGUGAGCUGGUUUAAAUCCAAACUGAAAUGGGGAAAUAGGGUUAAUAAUAAAUUCGUUUUCUAACUUUUCGUGUAACACGCGCUCGAAGAUUUUUCCAAUGUUUGAAAGUAAGGAAAUAGGACGAAAUUCGCCAGGAUUUAUGCUGCUAGGCCUUUUCUUUAUUGGUAUAAUCUUCGCCGACUUCCACGGUUCUGGAAA